rnacentral:rRNA from 1 species
UAAGGAAUAUUGGUCAAUGGAGGCAACUCUGAACCAGCCAUGCCGCGUGAAGGAAGAAGGCGCUAUGCGUUGUAAACUUCUUUUGGGUGGGAAGAAAAUGGUCAAUUUAUUGGCAACUGACGGUACCAUCAGAAUAAGCACCGGCUAACUCCGUGCCAGCAGCCGCGGUAAUACGGAGGGUGCAAGCGUUAUCCGGAAUCACUGGGUUUAAAGGGUGCGUAGGUGGCUUUAUAAGUCAGCUGUGAAAUGU